UGGUUCUGGCAUCGAUGAAGAACGCAGCGAAAUGCGAUAAGUAAUGCGAAUUGCAGAAUUCCAGUGAGUCAUCGAAUCUUUGAACGCACAUUGCGCCCUUUGGUAUUCCGAAGGGCAUGCCUGUUCGAGCGUCAUUAUCACCUCUCAAGCCCUGUGCUUGGUGUUGGAUGGCAUGGUUGAAUUCUAGUUUGACCCCUCCUAAAGACAACGACGGCGGCUUGUGGUUCCCCCGGUGCACUGAGCUUUUCACCGAGCACGUACCGGACCCGGGUGUCCAUGCCACGGCCCUCUCCCUCCACGGGAAACAUUUAAUUAGGUUGACCUCGGAUCAGGUAGGAAUACGCGCUGA
rnacentral:misc_RNA from 1 species